CGACGGCCGCAGGGCUGCAGAGCGAGUCGUUCCGCUUCGGUUGGAGGACGCCAGGGAGGCUAAGCCGGUUGCUAAUAGGCCAUUCAUUGGAGCAAGUGUGAUCAGUGGUGUAGAAGUCUGGCAAGGACAGUCAUCUUCUCUCUGCCAUUCAUUGGAGUCAGUGAUAAGGACAGUCAUCUUCC